AUGGGGUGGGAGAAAAACGAGAAACAUCUCCUCAGCCUUAGUCUCCAAAGCCUCCAAUCUUUGUGCAAGGAGUAUAACCUUCCUGCAAACAAGACCCACCCUCAGCUAGCUCGCUCGCUGGCCAUUUAUCUCGAGAAUGAAAAAAAUAAUUCAGGACCUGAAAAGGAAAAUUUGACUGUUCCUACUUCUACACAGGCUUCUCCUGCUACCUCUCCUGCCAUGUUACCAAAUACCAAAGAAGCAUCCAAAUGUGAGCAAGAUAACCACAAAAGAGGCCCAUAUAGUGACAGAGAUGAUGAUGAUGUUAGGCCACCAUUAAAGCAUAAAAAAGUGUCUAGAAAACAAGCAGAUAGAAAAUUGAAAAGUGACUCUGGUACCAGAACGAGUCUUCCUCCGAUUUCUAGUAACAAUGGCAAAGGAGACUGCUUUAAUUCAUGUUCUGGACAAGGGAUUUCUCAUAAUGUGAAACAAACUGCUGAUGGUAUUGCAACGUGCUCGACAGCCCCAAAGCUUAAUGGAAAUCAUGUUUCAGUUGCUCCUGUGAAUGACACAAUUUCUUUCGUAGCAAGUCAUCCUGGUCCUAAUGGUGUGGCAUCAAAGCCUCCCAGCCAUAUGAAAGCUGGUACAAAUGGCAUAGAUAAGGGCAGUGGCUUGUCUAAUGAGAACUUGGCAAAUGUAAAAUCUCCUUUUAAACUUUUUCUGAUGGAUGAAGAUGGAAUUGAUCUAUUUGUUGAUCUUAAUUCCACUCCAGGAGAUUGGGUUGGCAGCUUCAAGGGUGGAGUGAACCUCCCUCCAAGCACACAUAACUCUGAAACUGAUAUGUUCACCAAUUCUAUUAGCAGCCUUCGGAAUAAGAAUGAUCAGAACACAAUGUUGCCAUCAGAUAAUAUCAUUAUAGACAUACAAGAUAAGGGACCUGAGAGCAUUGCUGCUUGCACCAAUUCAUCACUAGGUUCAACUGAUGGUGAGAAUUAUCGCUCCAAAUCCAAUCCACGUGAUACCACUGCUGUAAACUCGAGGUCAUCUGCAUCCACAUUGUCUGGUACUCCUGUUGAAAUUUCUGUAUCUCAGGAGGGACCUCCGGUGGUACAUUCUUCAUGUUUAACAUCUGAUGUUCAGAACAAUGUGUCACUUGAUAUGGUGGCUGGUGCUUUGGGUAGUAAUGUGCUUCCUCAAGAAUCUGCUGAUGUCUCCAUGUUGCCUGGAAGAAGCCAUGCACCCCUGACCGAUGAUUCCAUACAACCAACUAAUGAAAGCACAUUUAGUCCUGGUAAAACCAAAGCUUGUGUCAAGAAUGGCUGCACUCAGAAUGUUUUGGAUGCUCAUACUGACAAAGCCGUGUCAUCUUCCCCAGGGCAUGUGGUUAUAAGCGACACUGACAAAAACUCUCGUCCACCAUCUGUGGGCAAACAGGAGAUGUUAGAUGUUACUUCAGGGGUUCAGCGUACCCGCAACAGUGAUACAAAUGGACUCCUAAUGGAAAAUGUACCAACGGCGGCAGUGGCGAUGGAAGAAGAUAAUGGUCAUGGUGGCAGCUCGUCAGUUCGUCAACUAGUCAAUCAGGCGGUAAUUGCACUACCUGCCGCAAAUGCCCAGUCAGAUGCUAGUUCUGCAGAUCGUGGCGUUGCUGGAAACUUCGACCUCACAGACCCAACACGAUCAUCUGUUGCUUCGGACAAUGCUGUUACUCCCCUGGCCACGAAUCAUGGUGCAAAGACAGGCAAUAGUCAUGAUUCUGCAGACAAAGAAAAACCGUGUGAUCCUGAGGAGUUGCAGGGUGUGGCUACUAGAAAUAUACUAUGUAGGUUAAGAAGUGCUGCUGCUAAGCAGACCAAGCCCUCUACAGUACCCAGACGGUCAUCAAGGCUUGUCCCAAAGUGA
rnacentral:rRNA from 1 species